rnacentral:rRNA from 1 species
GAUGAACGCUGGCGGCGUGCCUAAUACAUGCAAGUCGAGCGAAUGGAUUAAGAGCUUGCUCUUGUGAAGUUAGCGGCGGACGGGUGAGUAACACGUGGGUAACCUGCCCAUAAGACUGGGAUAACUCCGGGAAACCGGGGCUAAUACCGGAUAACAUUUUGAACCGCAUGGUUCGAGAUUGAAAGGCGGCUUCGGCUGUCACUUAUGGAUGGACCCGCGUCGCAUUAGCUAGUUGGUGAGGGAACGGCUCACCAAGGCAACGAUGCGUAGCCGACCUGAGAGGGUGAUCGGCCACACUGGGACUGAGACACGGCCCAGACUCCUACGGGAGGCAGCAGUAGGGAAUCUUCCGCAAUGGACGAAAGUCUGACGGAGCAACGCCGCGUGAGUGAUGAAGGCUUUCGGGUCGUAAAACUCUGUUGUUAGGGAAGAACAAGUGCUAGUUGAAUAAGCUGGCACCUUGACGGUACCUAACCAGAAAGCCACGGCUAACUACGUGCCAGCCGCCGCCGUAA